rnacentral:rRNA from 1 species
AUGGAGGGGGAGAUGGUCGUUGGUACGUUCCUGGCAACCACCUCAGACUUUGCAGUGACAUGGUGGUUAUUUUCCACUGUCAAAGAUUUGUGCCGCACGGAGCUAUUGCCCAGAGGAAGUCCAUGGACAUGCCCCAGUACUAGAAUGAUUUACAACGAAAUGGUUGUCUGGGGUCUUAUUGGACCGAGGCAAAUGUUCUUUAAAGGGGCCAAAAUGCCUCCAGCCAGAGCAGUUAACUACAUAUGUUGGUUCGUGUUGGGAUUCAUUUUUAACUACAUCAUCUUCCGGAGAUGCAAAGAGUUGUGGGCAAGGUACAGCUUACUCUUCUCCGUCGCCAUGGACACCGGCAUUGCUGCAAUGGCGUUAUUGACGAUGUUGGUUCUUCAGAUGCGAGGCAUCAAUGGCGUCAACUGGUGGGGUUCGUCUGUCUCUGAUCAUUGCCCUCUAGCCACAUGCCCUACCGAACCAGGAGUUUAUGUUGAGGGGUGCCUCCUCGUUCACUAA